rnacentral:rRNA from 1 species
GUGUCGGCCGCCGCGGUAAUACGUAGGGGGCAAGCGUUAUCCGGAUUUACUGGGUGUAAAGGGAGCGUAGACGGUUCUGCAAGUCUGGAGUGAAAGCCCGGGGCUCAACCCCGGGACUGCUUUGGAAACUGUGGAACUAGAGUGCAGGAGAGGUAAGUGGAAUUCCUAGUGUAGCGGUGAAAUGCGUAGAUAUUAGGAGGAACACCAGUGGCGAAGGCGGCUUACUG